rnacentral:rRNA from 1 species
CAAGUCGAACGCGAAAGGGGGGCAACCCUCGAGUAGAGUGGCGAACGGGUGAGUAAUACAUCGGAACGUGUCCAGUAGCGGGGGAUAACCUCUCGAAAGAGAGGCUAAUACCGCAUACGACCUACGGGUGAAAGAGGGGGAUCGCAAGACCUCUCACUAUUGGAGCGGCCGAUGUCGGAUUAGCUAGUUGGCGGGGUAAAAGCCCACCAAGGCGACGAUCCGUAGCUGGUCUGAGAGGACGGCCAGCCACACUGGAACUGAGACACGGUCCAGACUCCUACGGGAGGCAGCAGUGGGGAAUUUUGGACAAUGGGCGCAAGCCUGAUCCAGCCAUGCCGCGUGAGUGAAGAAGGCCUUCGGGUUGUAAAGCUCUUUCGGCGGGGACGAAAAGGUCCGUGUUAACACCAUGGAUCCAUGACGGUACCCGCAGAAGAAGCACCGGCUAACUACGUGCCAGCAGCCGCGGUAAUACGUAGGGUGCAGGCGUUAAUCGGAAUUACUGGGCGUAAAGCGUGCGCAGGCGGUUUGCUAAGACAGGUGUGAAAUCCCCGGGCUUAACCUGGGAACUGCGCUUGUAACUGGCAAGCUAGAGUGUGGCAGAGGGGGGUGGAAUUCCACGUGUAGCAGUGAAAUGCGUAGAGAUGUGGAGGAACACCGAUGGCGAAGGCAGCCCCCUGGGCUAACACUGACGCUCAUGCACGAAAGCGUGGGGAGCAAACAGGAUUAGAUACCCUGGUAGUCCACGCCCUAAACUAUGUCAACUGGUUGUCGGGGAAGCAAUUCCUUGGUAACGAAGCUAACGCGUGAAGUUGACCGCCUGGGGAGUACGGCCGCAAGGUUAAACUCAAAGGAAUUGACGGGGACCCGCACAAGCGGUGGAUUA